rnacentral:rRNA from 1 species
UACAGAGGGUGCAAGCGUUGUUCGGAUUCAUUGGGCGUAAAGGGUGCGUAGGCGGCGCGGUAAGUCGGGUGUGAAAUCUCGGAGCUUAACUCCGAAACUGCAUUCGAUACUGCCGUGCUUGAGGACUGGAGAGGAGACUGGAAUUUACGGUGUAGCGGUGAAAUGCGUAGAUAUCGUAAGGAAGACCAGUGGCGAAGGCGGGGUCUCUGGACAGUUCCUGACGCUGAGGCACGAAGGUCAGGGGAGCAAACGGG